UAAAACUGUCGCAUGCAACCUGCUUACAACUUGAGUUGUAUACACUGUGUAAAUCAAGCACACAACUCACUUUAGACACCGUAAACGAGUUGUGUGCUUGAUAUUACAGCUCAAGUUGUGAGCAGGUUGCAUGUGACAGUUUUAAGCAAACGUUGUGUAGUGUCUGAAAUCGGUCUUAAAAUUCAAGGCUGUU